rnacentral:rRNA from 1 species
GAUGAACGCUAGCGGGAGGCUUAACACAUGCAAGUCGAGGGGCAGCAUAGGGUAGCAAUACUCUGAUGGCGACCGGCAAACGGGUGAGUAACGCGUAUGUAACCUACCCUGUACAGGGGGAUAACCCGGAGAAAUUCGGACUAAUAUCCCAUAACAAUAUCCGGGGGCAUCUUUGGAUAUUUAAAGUUCCGGCGGUACGGGAUGGGCAUGCGUAACAUUAGCUAGUUGGUAAGGUAACGGCUUACCAAGGCUUUGAUGUUUAGGGGUCCUGAGAGGGUGGUCCCCCACACUGGUACUGAGACACGGACCAGACUCCUACGGGAGGCAGCAGUGAGGAAUAUUGGUCAAUGGGCGCAAGCCUGAACCAGCCAUCCCGCGUGCAGGAAGACGGCCCUAUGGGUUGUAAACUGCUUUUCCAGGGAGAGAAACUUGCGCACGUGUUGCGCAAUUGACGGUACCCUGGGAAUAAGCAUCGGCUAACUCCGUG